rnacentral:tRNA from 1 species
GCCGGCGUGGCGCAAUGGGUAGCGCAAUGGAUUUGUAAUCCGUGGGCUGGGGGUUCGAGUCCCCCCGCCGGCUCCA